rnacentral:rRNA from 1 species
GACAGAGGAUGCAAGCGUUAUCCGGAAUGAUUGGGCGUAAAGCGUCUGUAGGUGGCUUUUUAAGUCCGCCGUCAAAUCCCAGGGCUCAACCCUGGACAGGCGGUGGAAACUACCAAGCUGGAGUACGGUAGGGGCAGAGGGAAUUUCCGGUGGAGCGGUGAAAUGCGUAGAGAUCGGAAAGAACACCGGUGGCGAAGGCGGCCUGCUGGGCAGUUGCUGACACUGAGGCGCGACAGCGUGGGGAGCAAACAGG